AUUGCGGAUGACAGUGUAUGUGAAAUAUGCGGAAGGGAUGAGGAAGAUGAGCACCAUGCCAUUGUCGCAUGCACCAGAAGUGUGGCUUUACGCCACUCUGUGAGAGCCUUUUGGGAAAUCUCUAGAGAAUCCGAGUUCAAAAAUACAGGGGUAGACUGGCUGCAACUGCUGCUAAUCGCCCAACCUGAGAAGGUCAGAACCAAAGUAAUGUUAAUUUUGUGGCAGGCCUGGAGUUUAAGGAACAAUGCCAUACAUGGGGAUGGGAAAGAUACUGUCUCAGGAUCUGUCCAAUACCUGCUCAGACUACAUGAGGAGUUCCUAAUGGCGGCAAGCGAACCUGCUGAGGUGGGAGAAAAGAAUAAACAGUCUAUGUUCCCUACGAGAGCAUGCUUGCCAACAAGUGCAAAUCUCAAGCAUUGGAUGGCUCCCCCAGCCGGCAAAGUUAAGCUGAAUGUGGACACCGCAUUUCUGGUGGAAUCAGGGGACACGUGGGGAGGCGCGGUAGCUAGAGAUCAUAGAGGCCAUGUCUUCCUAUCAGUAGGCCGGCGUUUGGGCGAGUGCAGCUCAGUAGAAGAAGCUGAAGCAGCAGUGGUGGCGAUGGGAUUAACUGAAUUUGACAAAAACCAUCAAGGUACUUUGAUCCUAGAAACUGAUUGUGCGAGAAUCAGGUGGGCCCUAGUGGAAGAGACAUGCAGAUCAGCCUGCUUCACAUCUAUAGCCGACGCGAAGACCAUUGCAUCAAGCUUCGCAAACAUGGAGUUCAGUAUUGUAAACAAGGGCUGA
rnacentral:rRNA from 1 species